UAAAGAUCACAAGGAAAGAAAGUAUCUUGUAAAAGUUUUGCGAAGCAUCAUUUAUGUCAUAACAGAGUAACUGCACUGUGUUAAACAUUUGUUGAAAUUGUUAUCCAGUAUAUUGUCGUACUUCUUUUUAUCGUUCCUCUGUAUAGGCAUAUCUGAUUUGUAAUGUUGUCUAGGAAGGUUGGGCAUUUAGCAUAUUACAGUUACACAUAAAUCUUCCGGUUAUCUCACACAUCGGAGAUCCACCGAAAUACUGAAGGCUACUAUUUAAAGCAUCAAGUGCCAGAUCUGAUGCUACUUAAUCUUUACUUAAAUCUUCUCUGGAAGUACCUGGCACAACUGUGGCAACAUCUGCAGUGAUUGAUGCAGUUUGUCCCAGAGUCAAACACUGGAUUAGUGACUGGAGAUCAGCGGAGGGUGACUGGCGAGCUCAAGGGCAUGGAGCUUCAAGGAUCCCAUUUUGUGCCUCAGACCAUGAUGUGGCCACAAUAUCCCAGCGACGUAGAGCAGCGGAGGUGGCAGAGUGCAGAGCUGCUAAGUGCCUCGGUAGUCAGGUAGCAGGCCACUGCUCAAAGCCUGGUGAAGAUCGUGGUGACCGCGUCAUCGGUACGAUGUUGACCUCGUGGCAGCAACUGUAACAGCUAUCCUCAGUGAUGAGUGGCUGGCCUCAGAACUUUUAAAUAUAACUGUCUGGCGGACCCGGCACAAGGGAUACCACUGCUGCAUUCCUCUGUGUCAGUGAACCCUCUGUCUACAGUGAAUCUUCAUCUUUACGUAUCCCUUUCUUUUGCAUAAGUACAGUGUCUCAAAGAUAUAGUUUUUAGUUCCAUGUUUUGCCCUGUCCUGUGUUCUUUAUCGCCGAGUAGCUACUGGCUCCACCAUGUGGGAAGGGGUGGGUAUCAGACAGGCAUCUUGUCAGCACAACCUCAGUAGUCUUUCCCACUUAGUAACAUUUACAAGCUAAUACUACUAAAUUUUGUCUCUGAAUCAUUGGAAUUAACAACCAAAAGCCCCUCCACAAAUGCAUCACAUACUAAAAUUCGAA